UACGUAGGGUCCGAGCGUUGUCCGGAAUUACUGGGCGUAAAGCGUGCGCAGGCGGCGCGUUAAGACAGGUGUGAAAGCCCCGAGCUUAACUUGGGAAUUGCGCUUGUGACUGGCGUGCUGGAGUGUGGCAGAGGGAGGUGGAAUUCCACGUGUAGCAGUGAAAUGCGUAGAGAUGCGGAGGAACACCGAUGGCGAAGGCAGCCCCCCUGGGCUAGCACUGACGCUCAGGCACGAAAGCGUGGGGAGCAAACAGG
rnacentral:rRNA from 1 species